CAAGCGCAUAGGUAGUGCUCGGCCUGUGAGCGGUACUGUUCCAGUAUGCGCUUGUGUUCCUUGUGCUUUUCUUCCAUCAGCAACUUGAAAAGUAGGUGAGAGUAAUGUGGAUUUGUUCUCCUAAACACAAUUGAAGCUGCCGCCAUUGCUGCCGCCGUCUCACCAGCAACAUCUGACCCGGGAUUGUUGGCAUCAACCUUGUAAGCUUGUCGUGAUGUUGUCAUAUCCUCCGGCCGCUGCCAACAGUAGUGAAGAUGAAGAUGUUAUUCAUGCUCUUUGGAGCUGCCCAGCUGCGCAAGACAUUUGGGGGUGUGGUCUACGGAUUUUUCAGAAUAGCAGUUUCA